AAAGAUUUAGUUAAAAAAUAACCUUAAUUUGUCAAGUUAAUAUUGCCAUUAAAGCAAUCUUUA
rnacentral:tRNA from 1 species